GCAAACUUGGUCAUUUAGAGGAAGUAAAAGUCGUAACAAGGUCUCCGUAGGUGAACCUGCGGAGGGAUCAUUACGAGAGAUGGCGGGCCCCCGGCCCCCGUCCCCAACCCUUUGUUGAACCAAAACCUUUUUGCCUCGGGGGUGGAGCGUCCGUCGCCGGUCGCCGCCCCCGGAGGACCACUUAACGCUGUCUCUUUGCGUCGGAGUAUUGAUUGAAUGAAUGAAAACUUUCAACAACGGAUCUCUUGGUUCUGGCAUCGAUGAAGAACGCAGC
rnacentral:misc_RNA from 1 species